rnacentral:rRNA from 1 species
AGAAUCAACGCUGGCGGCGUGCCUAACACAUGCAAGUCGCACGAGAAAAGGAUUUCGGUCCUGAGUAAAGUGGCGCACGGGUGAGUAACACGUGAAUCAUCUACCUCCGAAUGGGGAAUAACUGAGAGAAAUCUUAGCUAAUACCGCAUAAUACCUACGGGUCAAAGCAGCAAUGCGUUUGGAGAGGAGUUCGCGGUCGAUUAGUUAGUUGGCGGGGUAAUGGCCCACCAAGACGAUGAUCGAUAUCCGGCCUGAGAGGGCGCACGGACACACUGGAACUGAAACACGGUCCAGACUCCUACGGGAGGCAGCAGUGGGGAAUUUUGCGCAAUGGGGGAAACCCUGACGCAGCAACGCCGCGUGGAGGAUGAAAUAUACUUGGUAUGUAAACUCCUUUCAAUGGGGAAGAUAAUGACGGUACCAUAGAAGAAGCCCGGCUAACUUCGCGCCAGCAGCCGC